UACGGGGGGAGCAAGCGUUGUUCGGAUUUACUGGGCGUAAAGGGCGCGUAGGCGGCCUGUGCAAGUCAGUUGUGAAAUCUCCGGGCUUAACUCGGAAAGGUCAACUGAUACUGCUCGGCUAGAGUGCGGAAGGGGCAACUGGAAUUCUUGGUGUAGCGGUGAAAUGCGUAGAUAUUCGGAAGAACACCAGUGGCGAAGGCGGCUCACUGGCUCGAUACUGACGCUGAGGUGCGAAAGCGUGGGGAGCAAACAGG
rnacentral:rRNA from 1 species